AUUCCUUGCUGCAGACAUUUCCUCAACAUCUCCUCAUACCUUUCCCAUGUAUCGUAUAAGGAUUUAGAUUCUUAUUAUCAGAAAGAGGAGAUGUCUCUUCUGAGUUU